rnacentral:rRNA from 1 species
CGGAAGCCUGAUGCAGCGACGCCGCGUGAGGGAUGACGGCCUUCGGGUUGUAAACCUCUUUCAGUAGGGAAGAAGCGAGAGUGACGGUACCUGCAGAAGAAGCGCCGGCUAACUACGUGCCAGCAGCCGCGGUAAUACGUAGGGCGCAAGCGUUGUCCGGAAUUAUUGGGCGUAAAGAGCUCGUAGGCGGUUUGUCGCGUCUGCUGUGAAAGCCCGGGGCUCAACCCCGGGUCUGCAGUGGGUACGGGCAGACUAGAGUGCAGUAGGGGAGACUGGAAUUCCUGGUGUAGCGGUGAAAUGCGCAGAUAUCAGGAGGAACACCGAUGGCGAAGGCAGGUCUCUGGGCUGUUACUGACGCUGAGGAGCGAAAGCAUGGGGAGCGAACAGGAUUAGAUACCCUGGUAGUCCAUGCCGUAAACGUUGGGCACUAGGUGUGGGGGACAUUCCACGUUUUCCGCGCCGUAGCUAACGCAUUAAGUGCCCCGCCUG